rnacentral:rRNA from 1 species
AUUGAACGCUGGCGGCAGGCCUAACACAUGCAAGUCGAACGAGUGGCGGACGGGUGAGUAAUGUCUGGGAAACUGCCUGGUGGAGGGGGAUAACUACUGGAAACGGUAGCUAAUACCGCAUACCAUCAGAUGUGCCCAGAUGGGAUUAGCUAGUUGGUGGGGUAACGGCUCACCAAGGCGACGAUCCCUAGCUGGUCUGAGAGGAUGACCAGCCACACUGGGACUGAGACACGGCCCAGACUCCUACGGGAGGCAGCAGUUGGGAAUAUUGGACAAUGGGGGAAAGCCUGAUGCAGCCAUGCCGCGUGUAUGAUGAAGGCCUUCGGGUUGUAAAGUACUUUCAGCGGGGAGGCGUUACCUGCAGAAGAAGCACCGGCUAACUCCGUGCCAGCAGCCGCGGUAAUUC